UAAGGAAUAUUGGACAAUGGGCGGAAGCCUGAUCCAGCCAUGCCGCGUGAAGGAAGAAGGCGCUCAGCGUUGUAAACUUCUUUUGGAUGGGGACAAUAACCUCGACGAGCUCGGGGCUUGAGGGUACCAUCAGAAUAAGCACCGGCUAACUCCGUGCCAGCAGCCGCGGUAAUACGGAGGGUGCAAGCGUUAUCCGGAAUCACUGGGUUUAAAGGGUGCGUAGGCGGUUUUGUAAGUCAGUCGUGAAAUCUUGACGCUUAACGUUAAAAUUGCGAUUGAUACUGUGAGACUUGAAUCAGGUUGAGGCAGGCGGAAUGUGGCAUGUAGCGGUGAAAUGCAUAGAUAUGCCAUAGAACACCGAUUGCGAAGGCAGCUUGCUGGGCUUAGAUUGACGCUGAGGCACGAAAGCGUGGGGAGCAAACAGG
rnacentral:rRNA from 1 species